rnacentral:lncRNA from 1 species
CCAACCUUUCGGCCCUUCCUCUUCCCCAUAUCAUUUAUUCUGCAAAACAAUGAUCGUGAAUCAUUUAUCCACGGUGAUCAGCCACUAUUGCGCUUCGUUUGGCGACGCUGAAUAACAAUGGAACCGAUUGAGAUUGAUGGCUUCGGCUUUGGAAGCGGCGAUGAGGUCACAGAACAUUCUGAAUCGCAGUUGAACAUUGAGCUUAUCAAGGUACUGUACUAUACUAUAUUUCAUUAUCUAUUUAUUUUAGAGUUUAUAGUUUAAUCAGUAAUCAUUGGGUAAUUGAACUAGAAUACGAGUUUAGCAGGUUUUAUUAUAUUUCGAUUUUGUAGUUUAGUUACAAAUUUUGAUAAUUAAACUGGAAUAAGGGUUUAACAGAUUUCAAUUUUGUAGUGGAGAGUUGCAGAUUUUAGUUUAACAGAUUUCAAUUUUGUAGCAGAGAGUUGCAGAUUUUAGUUUAAUCAGUAAUCAUUGGGUAAUUGAACUGGAACACGAGUUUAGCAGGUUUUAUUAUAUUUCGAUUUUGUUGUUUCAAUUUUGAUAAUUAAACUGGAUAAGGAUUUAACAAAUUUCAAUUUUGUAGCAGAGAGUUGCAGAUUUGCUCGAAAUUCAUCAUGUUACCUCCUAUGGACUAGAUUAUCUGAAGAGCUGAUCUUUAAUGCUAUUCAUUUUUUGAUAAAAAUUGAAAAUGAGUUGUAUGUGAUGUUUCGUCCCACUCUUCAGGGCCUGAGUCCGUGGUCGAAAAAACUAUAACGGAUUGGAUUAAUGAGGAGCUUCAUGAUGACUCAUUUAAUCAUGUGCUUGAUUUUGUUUCACUGAGGAAAAGGCUUGUGGAUUUUGUUGAUCGUUGACUCAUGUUCUACGCAGUUCGGAGCUGAUUACUGCAGCAGUUUAAGCAAGUGAGUUGGCCAGCAGGACAAGAAUUUGGAGUGAUUGACAGAUUAAAAAAUGAGAAAGCAAAUGAUGUGGCUUGACAAGGCAAAUGCUCUGGCACAAUGUAUGGCUGCUAUUUCCUUGCUUGUUUUCUGAAGUUUGAGCAGGUGAGCACAAGACACAGCUCACUAUGUGGCAAACUGAACAAUCAUUUACCUUAGUGAAUACACAGUGACAUAGAGAUGAUGAUCAUUAUUUCUGGUGUGAGGAUAUUCAUUUUUGAUUGUUGAAGUUCGGUAAUUUUACAAGAAUUAAUAUUUUUGGAAAUUUUAUGCAGCUAUGGUGGAGGCUGGAGGCACCGGUAAAAUGAGUGAGCAGUUCACCAUCAGAUUAUAUAUAGAGCUUAGCAUGGCCAACAUCACCACAACAAUUGCAACGACUUGAAGCUUUUAAUUGAUGUCGUCAGUUCCUUGCUUCAUCGCUCUCUCGGACAUCUUUUAUCGCUCAAGGUUUAUACAUUUCCAAUUCAUCUCUCCAUCUAAUUUACAUGUCUCUAUCAUUAUUUCAGUUUCAUUUUUAAAUUCUCACGGCAUCAAUAGCUUGCUAUAACAGCUCACUAAUCACUAUAAUUUAAUUCAGCAUUGUUCUACUAUCUAAUUUACGGUAUCUCUCCCGCGCACAUAUUUGAUCGCCUUUAAACUUUUUUUGCUAAAUAAUAAAUUUGGCGCUGUUUUUUGCAUCCUUCUCGAUGUUAACUCAUCAGUUUGAUCAUGAAAAUAUGUGGUAUUUGAUGUUGUGCAUGUGUGUGCAUUAAAUUUGAAGUACAAUUAUAUGUCGAUUAUCAUGGCCAAAAGAUGAUGUUCUACAGAAUGGUUUUGCUUUAGCAAUCAUUAUACACUACACACUUAGCUAAAGUCGAUAAAUGAAUAGUUUUAAAAUAUAGGUUACUUGACUUUUUAACACAAACUGUUAAGUCUUUAACCAUAUAGUUACAAUCAUUGUUUUUUAAAAAAUUGAAUAAAAAUAUAUGAUUAAUAUUAUAAUUCAGAAAAAAAUUUAGAAAAAAAAAUAAUCAUAGCUAUGCAAUUAAAAAACUUAGAAAUGUGUGUCAAAUGUAUAUUAAUCAAGCAACUUAUAUUUCAAAACAGAGGGAGUGCAUCAUAGCAGGACGGAAGACUUUUUAAAUGUAUUUGCGGUGGACAAGAAAAUGUGUGUUCAGCUUUGUGUGUUUAUGUAAUUAAUCAAGUAUGUUAUGUCGUUGCCACAGUGGAUGCUAAAUUGCUAUAAGAAGACCACAAUAUCUACUUAAUUCUUGCAUAAAUUAAUACACUCUGAAAAUAGGAUUAAUUGGUAAGCUGAUAUGCCAGACAAGCAUCAAGUCAGAUGGAGAUGUGUUUCAUGAGGUCUUCAGUAGCAAACCACACC